GACGUAGGGGGCGAGCGUUGUUCGGAUUUACUGGGCGUAAAGCGCACGUAGGCGGAUCGAUCAGUCAGGGGUGAAAUCCCAGAGCUCAACUCUGGAACUGCCUUUGAUACUGUCGAUCUGGAGUAUGGAAGAGGUGAGUGGAAUUCCGAGUGUAGAGGUGAAAUUCGUAGAUAUUCGGAGGAACACCAGUGGCGAAGGCGGCUCACUGGUCCAUUACUGACGCUGAGGUGCGAAAGCGUGGGGAGCAAACAGG
rnacentral:rRNA from 1 species